CCCCUCUCAGGGUCACACCUGGAGAGUUUCCAGUACUCUACCAGUCUUGACUGUGGGAGGGAGAGUCAAGCAGAGGCAUAUACAUUCCUAGCUUGGGCAGUGCCUAGCGAAUGAAAGGCAAUCUGCUACAAGU